rnacentral:rRNA from 1 species
GAUGAACGCUGGCGGCGUGCCUAAUACGUGCAAGUCGAGCGAACGGACGAGAAGCUUGCUUCUCUGAUGUUAGCGGCGGACGGGUGGGUAACACGUGGAUAACCUACCUAUAAGACUGGGAUAACUUCGGGAAACCGGAGCUAAUACCGGAUAAUAUUUUGAACCGCAUGGUUCAAUAGUGAAAGACGGUCUUGCUGUCACUUAUAGAUGGAUCCGCGCUGCAUUAGCUAGUUGGUAAGGUAACGGCUUACCAAGGCAACGAUGCAUAGCCGACCUGAGAGGGUGAUCGGCCACACUGGAACUGAGACACGGUCAAGACUCCUACGGGAGGCAGCAGUAGGGAAUCUUCCGCAAUGGGCGAAAGCCUGACGGAGCAACGCCGCGUGAGUGAUGAAGGUCUUCGGAUCGUAAAACUCUGUUAUUAGGGAAGAACAUAUGUGUAAGUAACUGUGCACAUCUUGACGGUACCUAAUCAGAAAGCCACGGCUAACUACGUG